rnacentral:rRNA from 1 species
AGAGAGAGACAUGCGCGCAUAUCAAUAAGCGGAGGAAAAGAAACUAACAAGGAUUCUCUUAGUAACGGCGAGUGAAGCGGGAAGAGCUCAAAUUUGAAAUCUUCAAGGUUCUACCUUGACGAAUUGUAGUUUAUAGAAGUGGUUUCUGUUAGUGGAGUGGUAAAAGUUCUUUGGAAUAGGACAUCAUAGAGGGUGAGAAUCCCGUAUUUGGUCAUUCCUCCUAGCGUUGUGAUACACUUUCAACGAGUCGGAUUGUUUGGGAAUGCAGUCCAAAAUGGGUGGUAAAUUUCAUCUAAAGCUAAAUAUUGGCGAGAGACCGAUAGCGAACAAGUACCGUGAGGGAAAGAUGAAAAGAACUUUGAAAAGAGAGUUAAACAGUACGUGAAAUUGUCAAAAGGGAAGCGUUUGACACCAGUGUUGUUUUUCCGAAAAUCAAUUACGAAUGUUUUGUUUUUGAGGAGUUAUGACUUCAUCGGCUUGCUCCUUUCUUUACGAAACUUUCUUAAUGCACCUUUCGGUUAACAAGUCAACAUCAAUUUCUUUUGUUGUAAAAGGGUAUGAGGAAGGUGGCUUUCUUUUCGGAGAAAGUGUUUAUAGCCUCUUAACCUCUGCAAUCGGAGAGAUUGAGGUCUGCAGCGUAGAUCCUUCGGGGUUAGAUACAUUUGUGCUAAGUUAUAGCUUUUCAUAGACAACUUGUUGACUAUGUUUAGUCUUGUAGCUUACUCGCUGACGCUAUUUUACCUACGCUUAGGAUGUUGAUAGUCACAGCGUGUAC